rnacentral:lncRNA from 1 species
GCAGUCUACAUGUCUUUAUGCAUAUAUUAGGUUUCAUCAACUAUGAAGUUCAAGUUAUAGCACCUAACCUAAUUGUCAAUGUCCAAUCAUUUGUCAAGUAUAGCUUGUUGACAUGAAUUGGACAAGUUGAUGACAUUGGAUUAAUCUGGUCAAAAAUAUGACUUAAUUUCUAAAAGCUAAAAACUAUUCUUAGAUUUUUGAGUCAGAAUAUAUAAUUGAUUUCGAUUAAGUGAUUGAUAUCUUGGAUUCGAGCUAGA